UUACGGCCACAUCACGUUGAAACAGCGGUUCCCGUAUGAUAACAAAAGUUAAGCAAUGUCGAGCCUGAUCAGUAUCUAGAUGGGUGACUACUUGGGAAUACCAAGUGUUGUAAG